AAAGACCAGAUCCUGUGGAGAAGCAAGUCAUACAACCUGAUCUAGAUGUGCGUGUGUGCAUGGUGUAUAUGGUGGAUGGUAUGUGGACUCGUUUUUGUACGAUCCUUCUCUCUCCUUUGCACUCUCUUUGGAGACAUGGGCUAUCUCUUCUUUCAAUCUCUCUCUCUCUCUCUCAUCAUGCUUUCAUGAGAAUGUACUUUAUUUCUUUUUGCAUAGCCCAAGUUUCUUUUGCAAGGAUAAUUUUGGUGAGACAGGUCAUAAAACAACAUGGAGAUUUAUUUUGUCGAUGGAUGAACUAAUGAUUGCUAACUUCCUGUGUAGAAGUUUAGUGUGGCAGAUCCACUUUGGAUCUACUUGGUUAAACAUGAUUUAGCCGCAUAAUAUGCAACGCUCAUGCCUAAACCGAGUAAACACGAAGUGCCGUCGGAUUUCU
rnacentral:lncRNA from 1 species